rnacentral:rRNA from 1 species
GACGAACGCUGGCGGCGUGCCUAACACAUGCAAGUCGUGCGAGAAAGUUCCUUCGGGAGCGAGUAAAGCGGCGCACGGGUGAGUAACACGUAGGUAACCUGCCCCCCAGUCUGGAACAACUAGAGGAAACUCUAGCUAAUGCCGGAUGAGACCACGAUCCCUUCGGGGGUUGCGGCCAAAGAUGGCCUCUACUUGUAAGCUAUCGCUGAGGGAUGGGCCUGCGGGCCAUUAGCUUGUUGGUGAGGUAACGGCUCACCAAGGCUGUGAUGGCUAGCUGGUCUGAGAGGAUGACCAGCCACACUGGGACUGAGACACGGCCCAGACUCCUACGGAGCAGCAGUGGGGAAUAUUGCGCAAUGGGCGAAAGCCUGACGCAGCGACGCCG